GGACUGGUGACCGAGGCACACUUUGAAGGCUUGGGAGAUGAGUGUGAGGCUCUUAACCUCAGGGUUGCGGGUUCGAUUCCCACCUUGGGCA